rfam:Trichosporon oleaginosus strain IBC0246 unplaced genomic scaffold CC85scaffold_54, whole genome shotgun sequence.
ACACUAGUGGUGAAACGGUAUCAUUCAUGCUUGCCAUGCAUGAGGCAGGGGUUCGACUCCCUUCUAGUGUA